UAAAACUCAAUUUUUUUCAUUAAUACUAAUAACAUUUUUUUUUCAUUCAAGUACGAGGCAUUUUAUUCAUAGUAAUAAUCAAAUGUGUCUACAAAGAUAGCCUCAGCCAAAGCUCUAGGGGGAUUGACCCACCAGAAUUUUGAAGGAAAAUCAAAAGAAAUGGAAGCUAAAACAUGAGCAGCAUUGUUUAAUUUUCUCUUCUAUUAACAUGUCUAAGCAUCAAGGAAUUAAAGGAUCUCAUGAUAUGUAUGCAAUCAGCUAUGAUAGGAUCAAUGUCUGGCCUGCUGCACUUUGAGUGGAUUGCAUUUAUAACAAUCUGAGAAUCCGACUCAAAUAUUGCAUCUUCAAUUUGCAUAUCCGUUGUAGUCUUCAAACUCCAUUGAAGCUCCAUAGCCUCUGCAAUCGUUGGAUCCGAUUGAUAAGGCUCAAUAGACGAUGCUGCCACCAUUAGCUGUGAGUCGUGUGAUCACGCAACCAUCCCAAAACCGGUGGAGGAAGAGCCCAUCCAUCCCGCGUCCACGUUAAUACCGACAACUAAUAACUAAUAAGCUAAGAGUAAUGUUAUAUGAAAGUAAGGGAGUGCACUGACUAAUUGUUGCAAAGCAUCAAGUGUCAUCUAAUCUUUCAUAUUAUAACUAGCGGGAUUACCCGUG
rnacentral:lncRNA from 1 species